rnacentral:lncRNA from 1 species
UAUGUACAACUAAAACAAAGGGAUGGACCAAUAGUUGUAAUAGGACCAAAAUAGUUUUAAUAGAGAUUAAAAUGUAUGUUUAUAUGUGAUGAGACCUAAAACCCUCAACCAAACCAAUAUUAAGUUGAUAAACGGAGAGUGCUUUGAACACUCUUUCGUGGCCUUCCACCGUGGUAGGCUCCGAUCGUUUGUGACUCGUACA